rnacentral:rRNA from 1 species
AGUCGACGGUGAAAGCAGAGCUUGCUCUGUGGAUCAGUGGCGAACGGGUGAGUAACACGUGAGCAACCUGCCCCUGACUCUGGGAUAAGCGCUGGAAACGGCGUCUAAUACUGGAUACGAACAAGAAUCGCAUGGUUACUUGUUGGAAAGAUUUAUCGGUUGGGGAUGGGCUCGCGGCCUAUCAGCUUGUUGGUGAGGUAAUGGCUCACCAAGGCGUCGACGGGUAGCCGGCCUGAGAGGGUGACCGGCCACACUGGGACUGAGACACGGCCCAGACUCCUACGGGAGGCAGCAGUGGGGAAUAUUGCACAAUGGGCGAAAGCCUGAUGCAGCAACGCCGCGUGAGGGAUGACGGCCUUCGGGUUGUAAACCUCUUUUAGCAGGGAAGAAGCGAGAGUGACGGUACCUGCAGAAAAAGCACCGGCUAACUACGUGCCAGCAGCCGCGGUAAUACGUAGGGUGCAAGCGUUAUCCGGAAUUAUUGGGCGUAAAGAGCUCGUAGGCGGUUUGUCGCGUCUGCUGUGAAAUCUGGGGGCUCAACCCCCAGCCUGCAGUGGGUACGGGCAGACUAGAGUGCGGUAGGGGAGAUUGGAAUUCCUGGUGUAGCGGUGGAAUGCGCAGAUAUCAGGAGGAACACCGAUGGCGAAGGCAGAUCUCUGGGCCGUAACUGACGCUGAGGAGCGAAAGGGUGGGGAGCAAACAGGCUUAGAUACCCUGGUAGUCCACCCCGUAAACGUUGGGAACUAGUUGUGGGGUCCAUUCCACGGAUUCCGUGACGCAGCUAACGCAUUAAGUUCCCCGCCUGGGGAGUACGGCCGCAAGGCUAAAACUCAAAGGAAUUGACGGGGACCCGCACAAGCGGCGGAGCAUGCGGAUUAAUUCGAUGCAACGCGAAGAACCUUACCAAGGCUUGACAUAUACGAGAACGGGCCAGAAAUGGUCAACUCUUUGGACACUCGUAAACAGGUGGUGCAUGGUUGUCGUCAGCUCGUGUCGUGAGAUGUUGGGUUAAGUCCCGCAA